UGGCUCAGAUGGUAAAGCAUCUGCCUACAACGCAGGAGACCCUGGUUCAAUUCCGGG
rfam:TPA: Bos taurus chromosome 1, whole genome shotgun sequence.